GCUGAGCUAUGAUGAGACAAACAACCAGUAUAAGCCAGUUCUGCUGCUGAUCAACCGUGAUCGAGACACUGGUCCUUUGUCUGAGCUCAGU
rnacentral:snoRNA from 1 species